rnacentral:rRNA from 1 species
UACAGAGGUCUCAAGCGUUGUUCGGAUUCAUUGGGCGUAAAGGGUGCGUAGGCGGCGCGGUAAGUCGGGUGUGAAAUCUCGGAGCUUAACUCCGAAACUGCAUUCGAUACUGCCGUGCUUGAGGACUGGAGAGGAGACUGGAAUUUACGGUGUAGCGGUGAAAUGCGUAGAUAUCGUAAGGAAGACCAGUGGCGAAGGCGGGAUCUCUGGGCCUUACCUGACGCUGAGGCGCGAAAGCUAGGGGAGCAAACAGG